UACGGAGGGGGCUAGCGUUGUUCGGAAUUACUGGGCGUAAAGCGCACGUAGGCGGCUUUGUAAGUUAGAGGUGAAAGCCCGGAGCUCAACUCCGGAAUUGCCUUUAAGACUGCAUCGCUUGAAUCCAGGAGAGGUGAGUGGAAUUCCGAGUGUAGAGGUGAAAUUCGUAGAUAUUCGGAAGAACACCAGUGGCGAAGGCGGCUCACUGGACUGGUAUUGACGCUGAGGUGCGAAAGCGUGGGGGAGCAAACAGG
rnacentral:rRNA from 1 species